CGGAAGGUGAGGAGAGAGAGAGAGAGAGAGAGAGAAGAAUGGCUGGGGCCAGGUGUUUUCUCCUAGACCAGCAGGAUGAGAAUAGGAGAAGGACCAUUAUUCCUUUACACAGGGGGAGCCGUCGGCUGCCCCAGAGGACAGAUGAGGAAACCAAGGCUUGGGAGGAGAAGCGGCGCAUCCUGUGGCACACAGUAGGUGUGACACAAGACAGCUGACUCUGGCUUCCAGGCUCUUCCCACAGAUCUGCAGAGCUUCUGCCCUCCCAGCCCCACCUGCCAGGACUAGGUCCUCUCCGCCGGCCCUGCAGCUGCGUUCUCUGCCUCUGCUCUGUGGACUGAUGCCUCACACGAGCUCCCUGGCCUCUGGCUUCUGGUGGGUUUGCUCAGCAGGAAGGAGCAGCAGGAGCUCUGGGGGUGGGAAGGAGAGAGAGGCUGGCAGGUUCACUCCCUGGUGCCGUCCCUGCUGAGCCAGUUGUGUUCCUGUACCGAAGGCCACUGGCCCUCUUCCACUGCCUCAGCCCUCACGUGGCUCCAGGACCGCUGCCCGCUUUGCCCUGCGGGUCCAGGGGUAGUAACUGCUCCCCACUGUUGCUGUCUCGGGGAAUUUAACCAUCCCUUCACCUGUCAUUAAACUCA
rnacentral:lncRNA from 1 species